AUUGAACGCUGGCGGCAUGCCUUACACAUGCAAGUCGAACGGUAACAGGUCUUCGGAUGCUGACGAGUGGCGAACGGGUGAGUAAUAUAUCGGAACGUGCCCAGUCGUGGGGGAUAACGCAGCGAAAGCUGUGCUAAUACCGCAUACGAUCUAUGGAUGAAAGCGGGGGAUCGCAAGACCUCGCGCGAUUGGAGCGGCCGAUAUCAGAUUAGGUAGUUGGUGGGGUAAAGGCCCACCAAGCCAACGAUCUGUAGCUGGUCUGAGAGGACGACCAGCCACACUGGAACUGAGACACGGUCCAGACUCCUACGGGAGGCAGCAGUGGGGAAUUUUGGACAAUGGGCGCAAGCCUGAUCCAGCAAUGCCGCGUGCAGGAUGAAGGCCUUCGGGUUGUAACUAGCUUUGUACGGUAACGAAAGGACUCUGGUUAAUACCUGGGCGUCAUGACAGUACCGUAAGAAUAAGACACCGGCUAACUACGUGCC
rnacentral:rRNA from 1 species